rnacentral:rRNA from 1 species
GCAGCGGAGCGUGUGGUUUAAUUCGAUGCUACACGAAGAACCUUACCAGGGUUUGACAUGCAAGUGGUAGGAAACCGAAAGGCGACCGACCUUCGGGGAGCUUGCACAGGUGCUGCAUGGCUGUCGUCAGCUCGUGUCGUGAGAUGUUCGGUUAAGUCCGCUAACGAGCGCAACCCUCGCUGUGUGUUACAAGUGUCACACGGUACUGCCGGUCUUAAGCCGGAGGAAGGUGGGAUGACGUCAAGUCAGCAUGGCCUUUAUGUCCUGGGCUACACACACGCUACAAUGGCCAACACAAUAGGUUGCUAAGCCGCGAGGUGGAGCCAAUCCUCAAAGUUGGUCUCAGUUCAGAUUGCAGGCUGCAACCCGCCUGCAUGAAGACGGAGUUGCUAGUAACCGCAGGUCAGCUAUACUGCGGUGAGUACGUUCCCGGGGCUU